rnacentral:rRNA from 1 species
UACCAGCACCCCGAGUGGUCGGGACGAUUAUUGGGCCUAAAGCAUCCGUAGCCGGUCAUGCAAGUCCUCCGUUAAAUCCACCUGCUUAACAGAUGGGCUGCGGAGGAUACUACAAGGCUAGGAGGCGGAAGAGGCAAGCGGUACUCAGUGGGUAGGGGUAAAAUCCUCUGAUCCAUUGAAGACCACCAGUGGCGAGGGCGGCUUGCCAAUACGCGCUCGACGGUGAGGGAUGAAAGCUGGGGGAGCAAACCGGG